GUGUUUUAUGAAAGUAAAGAAAUAGGUUAACAGUCCCCGAGACAAGAAUGGAAAACAUUAUCAGGACCUAUACCACACAUAUACAUUUAAAGUAUCACUCAGCCUGGUCAACAUGGUGAGGGCCUGUCUCUACAAAAAUUUAAAUCUUA
rnacentral:ncRNA from 1 species